AUAGAAGCGUUAGUAAAAGUCAGGUAGCACCUCGAACCCCGUCUCGGCUUUGGAUGCGGGCAAGGGGUGUUACAGGUAUUUUUCCAAAUAUGAACCCUAGUUUAAAUUAUUGCUAGAAUAAGCUUAAUCAAAUUACCGGGAUUCCAAAAACGUAAAGAACAUGAAAAACGGGGUUAGAACGGACUUACUAUUGAGCGUGGAAAACUUGAAAACCCUACCCAUGGCUUCCCCCAUGCUAAUUUCGGCCUCCAUGAGAAAGAUGAGUCAAUU
rnacentral:lncRNA from 1 species